CGGGGUGUGGCUCAGUUUGGCUAGAGCGCCUGGUUUGGGACCAGGAGGUCGCAGGUUCGAAUCCUGUCACCCCGACCA
rnacentral:tRNA from 1 species